rnacentral:rRNA from 1 species
GUGCGCGGGUAACCGCGUAAGGUGGCAAGCGUUGUCCGGAAAUUAUUGGGGCGUAAAGCGCCGCGCAGGCUGCCUUUUAAGUCUGAUGUGAAAGCCCCCCGGCUCAACCGGGGAGGGUCAUUGGAAACUGGAAGGCUUGAGUACAGAAGAGAAGAGUGGAAUUCCAUGUGUAGCGGUGAAAUGCGUAGAGAUGUGGAGGAACACCAGUGGCGAAGGCGACUCUUUGGUCUGUAACUGACGCUGAGGCGCGAAAGCGUGGGGAGCAAACAGGAUUAGAUACCCUGGUAGUCC